AUACGGGAGGCAGCAGUUGGGAAUCUUGGACAAUGGGGGAAACCCUGAUCCAGCCAUGCCGCGUGAGUGAUGAAGGCCUUAGGGUUGUAAAGCUCUUUUACCCGGGAAGAUAAUGACUGUACCGGGAGAAUAAGCUCCGGCUAACUUCGUGCCAGCAGCCGCGGUAAUACGAAGGGGGCUAGCGUUGUUCGGAAUUACUGGGCGUAAAGCGUGCGCAGGCGGUCUCUCAAGUCAGGGGUGAAAGCCCAGAGCUCAACUCUGGAAUUGCCUUUGAAACUGUGAGGCUCGAGUGCGGGAGAGGUGAGUGGAAUUCCCAGUGUAGAGGUGAAAUUCGUAGAUAUUGGGAAGAACACCGGUGGCGAAGGCGGCUCACUGGCCCGUUUCUGACGCUCAUGCACGAUAGCGUGGGGAUCAAACAGGAUUAGAUACCCCCGUAGUCC
rnacentral:rRNA from 1 species